AUACGAAGGUCCCGAGCGUUAUUCGGAAUCACUGGGCGUAAAGAGUAUGUAGGCGGUUUGGUAAGUCAGGUGUGAAAUCCCGGAGCUCAACUUCGGAACUGCAUCCGAUACUGCCAGACUAGAGUAAUGGAGAGGCAGGUGGAAUUCUCGGUGUAGCAGUGAAAUGCGUGGAUAUCGAGAGGAAGACCAAUGGCGAAGGCAGCCUGCUGGACAUUUACUGACGCUGAGAUACGAAGGCUAGGGGAGCGAAAGGGAUUAGAAACCCCAGUAGUCC
rnacentral:rRNA from 1 species